GGGGAUGUAGCUCAAUGGAUAGAGCAUCACUCUUCUAAAGUGACACGUGCAGGUUCAAAUCCUGCCAUCCUCG
rnacentral:tRNA from 1 species